rnacentral:lncRNA from 1 species
CUGCAGAGCAUCCUCUGACCCCUUGAUCACUCUGUUCAGUAGGGACUGUGGCUGCUCAUCCUGCUCCCCUCCUGUCCCCUGGCUCCUCGCCUGGCAGUUUCCUGACUGAACUUAGCCCUGAACUUCCUUUUGUUUGUGCCUAGGCUCCUGCCUGGAUGCUGACACUAUCCCCGAAGGCUGCCAGACCUGACGCUCAGUCUUGAUUCUGGGCUUCAAAACUUGAAGGCUUCAUACAGGCAGCAGCCUAUGAUCUGGACAGAAGAGAUUGUCGUCCAUGGGUGGAGGGCCUCUGUCCAGCUCAAUAAGACAUUCUUGAACAGCUAGACUCAACUUCCUGGGCAUGCUGGACCUAUACCUCUUUACAGGUGGCCAAUUGGACCCUCCUGAUUCCAGCACUCACUCCCCACCUGUUCUUCUACUCAGAAAUCACAGGGUUCUCUCACUGUUGUCUUGAAUCCCAUUCAUCUUUCUAAUGAUUGGUCUUAGCAUUGUUUCUGACAGUUUGCUCACAGCCUCUCACUAACAUUCCUCAUAGCUUGACCCAGCUCCUGAGAUCUUCCCAACCUUAUGCAUGCCACCCCCAGAUCCUCCUUCUCUCUCCCCUCAAUCCACAGCCUGUUUUGGAGAUGGGGGCCCAGAAACUAUUUGGUUGACGGAGCUAGAGCAUGUGGAGUCAGGAGGGGAGGAUGUGCUGUGCUGAAAGUCUGAGUUUUUGCUGGACUGACUGGCUGUCCUCCUGCUGGAUCUGAGUGGCCUGAUGCAUCAGCCACAAAAAACACAGGCCUGGACAGAAAGCCAGGGUGGGGAAGGAAUAAGAGACCAGGUAUAUGGACUAAACAUUUGUGUCCCUCCAGCCAAAGUCAUAUGUUGAAACCCCAGCCUUCAAUGUGAUGAUUUGGAGGAGGAACCUGUGGGAGGUGAUUAGGGUUAGAUGAGGUCAUGAGGAUGGGUCCCUUAGAAUGGGAUUAGGGGCCUUAAAAAAAAGAGGAAGAGUCUACCUCUCUCUGUCUCUGAGGGCAUGCACCAUGGAAAUGCCAUGUGAAGACACAACAAGAAGGUAGCCAUCUGCAAACUAAGGAAAGAAUCCUCCACAGACACUGACCCUGCUGGAACUUGAUCUUGGACUUUCCCGAUUCUAAACUGUGAGAAAAUAAAGGUCUGUUUUUAAAGCCACCAGUCUGUGGUAUUUUGUUAUGGCAGCCCAAGCUAAGACACCAGGGGAGAUGAUCCUAACAAAAGCCUG